GGCUCGGUGGCCAAGUGGUAAGGCGUUGGUCUCGUAAACCAAAGAUCGGGAGUUCGAACCCCCCUCGAGCCU